rnacentral:rRNA from 1 species
AUUGAACGCUGGCGGCAGGCCUAACACAUGCACGUCGAACGAGUGGCGGACGGGUGAGUAAUGUCUGGGCAACUGCCUGAUGGAGGGGGAUAACUACUGGAAACGGUCGCUAAUACCGCAUACCAUCGGAUGUGCCCAGAUGGGAUUAGCUAGUAGGUGGGGUAAAGGCUCACCUAGGCGACGAUACCUAGCUGGUAUGAGAGGAUGAACAGCCACACUGGAACUGAUACACGGUCCAGACUCCUACGGGAGGCAGCAGUGGGUAAGAUUGCACAAUGGGGGCAAGCCUGAUGCAGCCAUGCCGCGUGUAUGAAGAAGGCCUUCGGGUUGUAAAGUACUUUCAGCGGGGAGGCGUUACCAGCAGAAGAAGCACCGGCUAACUCCGUGCCAGCCGCCGCGGUAAUAC